rnacentral:tRNA from 1 species
UGUCUCGUAUUUUAUUAAGAAUAGUAAAUUGCAAACUUACAGGUGAACUAGGUUCCGAGACUU